GCCCCAUCAUUGUGUUGCCUUGAGGAUCCCUGAAGGAUUAUGGCAGCUAUCCCCGUGUCAAGAAAAAAAAGGCUUUAUAUGUAAAAUGGAGGCAGAUAUUCACACUGCAGAGGCGCUGCCAGAAAAAGGACCAAGUCACAGCAUCAUUCCUCUUGCGGUUGUACUGACACUGAUAGUCAUUGUGGCCAUUUGCACACUUUCCUUCUGCAUAUACAAGCAUAACGGUGGCUUCUUCAGGAGACUUGCAGGGUUUCGGAAUCCUUACUAUCCUGCAACCAACUUUAGUACAGUAUAUUUAGAAGAAAAUAUUCUCAUUUCUGAUCUUGAGAAGAGUGACCAAUAAUAAUGAGGUCAGAGAAUGCCACAGACACCAGGAUGACACCUAAAGGUGCAAAAGAAAACCAUCUCUGCACACUACCAAACAGACAGUGCGUGAACGAAGCAGACCCUCCUGACCACAGCCAAGGACUGGAGAGCUUGGUGAAACUGGUGCUCAAGGUAGAAAUUCCCUGCGAUUGCUACUGCAACUUAUACUAAACGUCCCAAGUGAAGUGAAGGGAGAAAAAAGAGAUAUUAAGCAAGAAGGCCCACUUGUUUAUGCAUUGCUUUAGAAGAUAAUCUGUAAUUGCAUAUUAAUAAGUAAAGUUAACGUUACACUUAAAUAAU
rnacentral:lncRNA from 1 species